CCAUCCUGUGGUCCUGAAGAGGUGACUUGUGACCAUUAACAGCUGUUGCUGUCGAUUCUGUGCAGACAUUUCUGAAGUCCCUGGAUAAGUCAGGUGGGCUGUGCUAUGUAUGAACUUUCCUAGAAGAGAAGCUGGAGUGUGACCAUGACAUCUGCCAGUGGAAGUGGAGACAGUCACAUCCUCAUUAAGAGGGGGCUCAAACUUCAGUGUGCGUGAGAAUUACUCAGACAGCUUAUUCGGUCACAGAUGGCUGAUUCAGUAGGGCUGAACCAGACUCAGAACACUUGGUCUAUAGGAACCACAGGAGGUUAGAGAAGGGGAAAACCAGCACAGACUCUGGUGGUGGAGAAGUUCAGGUGUGUGUAACAACACCCCUCCUUCCUGCCAUCUGAUCCUACCGAUUCAUCAAGGGCUCAAUGGCCUCCUCCGUGUUCCCGCUUUUCAAAGUGUGAGUCAGCCUCUCUAACUCUGGAUUACUGUCUAAUUUGAUCUGGUCAGUUCUGAAGAUAUUAGGUAAUAUUAGACCCAUCUCCGGC
rnacentral:lncRNA from 1 species